rnacentral:rRNA from 1 species
GUAUGGAAAUUGGUGAUUUAUAAUAACUUGGCAAAUCGCAAAGUGAAAACAGGCGAUAAAUCAUUCAAGUUUCUGACCUAUCAGCUUUCGACGGUAUGGUAUUGGCUUACCGUGGCAGUGACGGUUAACGGGGGAUUAGGGUUCGAUUCCGGAGAGGGAGCCUGAGAAACGGCUACCACAUCUAAGGAAGGCAGCAGGCGCGCAAAUUACCCAAUUCUAACAGUUUGAGAGAGGUAGUAACAAGAAAUAACAAUACAAGGCAAUUAAAAUGCUUUGUAAUUGGAAUGAUAGAAAUUUAAACCCUUUUUAAAGUAUCAAUUGGAGGGCAAGUCUGGUGCCAGCAGCCGCGGUAAUUCCAGCUCCAAUAGCGUAUAUUAAAAUUGUUGCAGUUAAAAAGCUCGUAGUUGAAGUUCUGCUAAAAGUAACCGGUCUGCUUUUAAUAAAAGUGGUAUCUUGGUGUGUAUUUAGCAAUGAUGUCCUUUGA